GAUGAACGCUGGCGGCGUGCCUAAUACAUGCAAGUCGAGCGAACAGACGAGGAGCUAGAUACUCUGACGUUAGAGACGGACAGGUGAGUAACACGUGGCACACCAACCUACACACCUGGGAUAACUUCGGGAAACCGGAGCUAAUACCGGAUAAUAUAUUGAACCGCAUGGUUCAAUAGUGAAAGACGGUUUUGCUGUCACUUAUAGAUGGAUCCGCGCCGCAUUAGCUAGUUGGUAAGGUAACGGCUUACCAAGGCAACGAUGCGUAGCCGACCUGAGAGUGUGAUCGGCCACACUGGAACUGAGACACGGUCCAGACUCCUACGGGAGGCAGCAGUAGGGAAUCUUCCGCAAUGGUCGAAAGCCUGACGGAGCAACGCCGCGUGAGUGAUGAAGGUCUUCGGAUCGUAAAACUCUGUUAUUAGGGAAUAACAAAUGUGUAAGUAACUAUGCACGUCUUGACGGUACCUAAUCAGAAAGCCACGGCUAACUACGUG
rnacentral:rRNA from 1 species